rnacentral:lncRNA from 1 species
GUCUAUAUGCGGAACAUGCCGAUACCUCCAAAUCGGAGGAACGACGCGGAACGGCUCAUGCUCACCCCUCGUGUCUCCCUCGGCAGCCCGCUUAUCUCCCUCUCUCGUCUCUCUCUCUCUCUCAUCCGACAGGAACAGGCAGGCGGCGCUGGCAGGAGGUGAGCGGCGGCAGCGGGAACCGGCAGGCGGCGGCGUUGGAAGAAGGCGAGUGGCCGCAGGCGGUGCCUGCUCUGCUUGUACUUGUCCCUGCCUCCGCACCCACCAUCGGCGCACCAGGCAGUCGCCCCCUCCCCCUACGCCUUGAGUUCUUGGCUGCUGGACCACUUCCUCGGCCGCAGAUCAAGCCAUGAGCCGCAAGCUCCGCCCUUCACCGGAAGAUCUGCUCUUCCAUGCCCAGUUCGAGCUUCUCCUUCCUUUUUUUUUCCUCAGAUCGGAAAGAGCGGCGUGAUGCAAGCAUUAGCAAAGGCAAGCAACGUCGUGGCUUUUUGGUUGUGCGCAAUUAGUGGCGACUGGUGAAAAUUGGCUGAUGUUAUAUGUAUGCAUCGUGAUUGUUCGUAAAGAGGAUUUCUUUGUUAAUUUGUUUGUUGCUUAGUAGAGUACUGAUGGUAGUUUAGUUUCCAAAAGAAAAUCAGAGUUUAACUGAUAUGCAAGAGGUGAGCUGUAUCAAAUUAAUCUCAUUUUAUCUCUUCAACCAAACACUGAACUAGAGCCAUUCCAUUCCAUCAAACUGCACUCUACCAAACACAGGGACGGAACCAACCCAUUACAGUGGAAUGGAACCAUGACAUUCCAUUCCACUUCGUUCCUGAACCAAAGACACCCUAUGCGUCUGGAUGUGAAUGGCACUUGCAGUAUAUGGCCGCUCCUUGGUUGUCCAUUUGUAUGCAUCCAUCAGUAUGUAAAUGGCCGCUCCUUGAUUGUUAUUUUGAACAAAACUCCCCCUUAAUUGUUCUACUGAAAUGAAUCCUUGGAAGCUAGCACUACAUGUCUGUUGUUGCUGUCGUCUUGUACUACAUGGCUUUUUCCAAUUUAAUUUCAGUCAAGUUUAUGUGAAUAUAAUCUCCAUUGAUCUGAUGUUUUGGUCUGAAUAUUUACAUUUUAAUUAUCAUGUAUGUACUAAUGCAUUCUCAGAUAUUUGGUCGGUGUUAUCUUCUAAAAUAAUAUUUAAUGCAAUCCUUAAAUAGAAGUAGAAGAAGCAUGUCCGCAAACAGAAUUGUACAUUUUCAUUCCUUUGUAGAAGUGUAAUAGAUUAUUUCUUGAAAACAUAAAGAUUUCAAGUAUAGCGUCAGAACAAAGAUACAAACUGUAAUUUCAACAUCCGGUAAAUGACAUAUACAGCGAGUUGGGCGUGUCAAAUGUUGAUGUACAAACAGAAUACAUUGGAUUAACCAUCUACUUUUUAGAACAGUUCGGAACAUAGCUCAGUUGCUCACAUUAACAAAGAUAAAUAUUAAAACUGGUAAUGUUUGCAGUGCCAAUUGAAGCCGCCAUAGACACGAAUGAACUGGACAAUUGUACUCUUGCAUUAUAUUUAAGGCAUAAUGUUAAAUCCAAAUAAUAGACCUGCGAUGAAACUGAAUAAAUUUUAUGAUUGUUAUUUUUCAUAGUUGGGAGCUAGAAAUUGAUGUUACAUUCAGACCUCUUAACACGGCACAUAUGAUUGUCAGACUAAUUUCUUUGAUCUGGACAUUGUAGUCGGCACAUCUCCUGCCUGAUCGACGUCGAUGCCAUUAUCCUCGAGAAGAACAGGAUGAGAUUGAGACCCUUCCAUUCUUCCGCUUGUUCUAUUCUUGAUGUGAAUUAGCUAGGAUGUAGAGUUUUGUCUAUUAAAGGUCUGGACUAUUGUGUGGUUUCAGUAAAAUUAUAACUGCCUGUAUAUUUGUCUGUGCGUAACAUCUGAACUGGAUCAUGUCCUAUCAUGCAUCGCACUGUUACACAACUAGAGUUGCCAUAUCUUGGUGGACCAUGUCCUGGUAUCAUUUAUCAUUCCCCUGAGUUUAUGGGCCUUAUAAUGAAUGCUAUUUUCUGCUUGCUUGCAUUCAGAAAUGAGAAUAAAUUAUUUACUGUAUUGGAUGCUCCUCUCCUCUCUUUGUUCGGUUCUGUCUUUUUUUCCACUUCCCGGUUUGAACAUAUUGGAAGAGCAAAUUAUGUUAUGUUCCUGGCCCAUCUCUUUCUGCUAUCUUGCGGCUGCAAGACCUGGGAGUUUUAGUGGCUGAUAUAAUUUUGACAAUUUUGCUGCAAUACCUUCAGUUUCUCUAUUGAUUCGGUCAAUUUUGCUGCUGCAAUAGUCUGAAGCAGAACCUCUAUUCUUUUCGUUUGUGCAGGAACUUUGCUCCCAUCUAAUCUGUUUGGGCUGUGUAAAGGGAAGAGAAGGGACGAGAGCAAUGACUGGUUGGGUUGUGUUAAGGGAAGGGAAGAGGGUAAUGACAAGGAGCAGCUGCAAGGGCAUACUGGGAGAGGAGGGUCGACCCCGACGCCAUGGAAGGUCUCUCUCUCUCUCUCUCUCUCUCUCUCUCUCUCUCUCUCUCUCUCUCUCUCUCUCUCUGUUAAUGAGGUAAUUUAAAUAAACAUGAACAAAUUUAUUAGAUUCAUCAAUCUCUUUUGAUUCCGUAAGUUGGAGCUUAUUAGAUGUGAAGUAGAUUCAGAAAAAUUGUCCCGUUUCAUUUGAUGCUUGUUUGCAUUCGCACACUGGAUGGUCAUGUGAAGAAAUUUACAUGUGUUUGUCUAAUAUUGCCUGAAAGUCAUGUGUUUAAAAUGUUUACGCAAGUUGUUGAUGCUCUUCUGCUCUAGCCUAUGCUGAUCAAGUGGGCAUCUUAUAAAAUUGGUAUGCAAGUAACACGAAUAAUAAAAUCAAUGGGUUUAUGAUAGAAAAGCUUUUCUGUGUAUCCUGAAUGAAUAUAAACGAUGCAUGAUCAUUUCAAGCUGCACUUCCCUAUCAAUUAUUUCAUUGUUUAUCAAGUAUUUUCAAGUUUCAUAGUCCACUACAUUACAAUUUUUUAUUUUUCAUCUAAUAACAAAUACAUAGCUUAAUGUUCAAUGAAUAAAACUAAGUGUGGGAGAUCUCUCAAGGAAACUGUACCAUAUUCUUUGUUGAAAGUUUCCAUGCCAUUUUAAAUUCACUUGGCAAGCAAUUAUCGUUUACUAUUUGUCAGCCCUUUGAGAUGUAGUUGCAACAUAAACAUUGCCGCUGCUCGUCGACCCGGAUGACAUAAACUUCAAAUGUUCAUGUGUCAACAAGUUUACACGUCAUGGGGGGAUAUUGUUUGUUAGUGAUAUGCCAUUUCGUUGGUAGGUUUAUACGGCCUCAACUACUGCUGCUAUAUUACUUGGAGUUUUGUGAUGUGUAUUUUGUCACUUUGUCAUUUGACCUCCAUUUGACACACUUUUCUUUGGAUUAAUUUUAAGAAACCACAUGUUUACUCUUGUUUUAUAGUAGAUACAAUGUUAUUCUCAUUUGUAGGCACUAUAAGAUUUAGGAAUUCUGGACAAUAUGUAAUUCAUUUUUUAUUUUUGUUGCAAUUCUCUUAUUUCUACUAUCCAUUCAUAUCUGCAAAUAUCUAAUAUUCUUGUAAAUAUGGUAGGUAAGAUUGGAUAGCGUGCUUCUUGGUGUUGCCCAUCACAAUCAGCCACAACAUGAUAGUUGCCAUCAAGAGCGUCAACAGCAAGAGCCUGUAUAACAACACCCUCAAUAGUUUAUCUAUUCUGAUGUAAAAUGGAUUGUACUGGUUCAUAACUCUGCUGUGUGAUAUAUGUUCUCAAUAUAUGUUGUAUGUUAUCAUUUUGUGAGGAUUUUUUAAACUGCUAUGCCGUAGAUACGUAUAGAUGGAUGUGAUAAACUUUGUAAUGUUUCACACCUUGCAAAUAUUUUUUGUUGGGCCAAAAUUGGCAUUAGGAUUUGUGUAAUGCAUUAUGCUAAAAACAUAUUGGGUCAAAUUUUGGCCAAAAGAAAUGGGCUAAUGGUCU